rnacentral:rRNA from 1 species
GAUGAACGCUGGCGGCGUGCCUAAUACAUGCAAGUCGAGCGAACAGACGAGGAGCUUGCUCCUCUGACGUUAGCGGCGGACGGGUGAGUAACACGUGGAUAACCUACCUAUAAGACUGGGAUAACUGCGGGAAACCGGAGCUAAUACCGGAUAAUAUAUUGAACCGCAUGGUUCAAUAGUGAAGGACGGUUUUGCUGUCACUUAUAGAUGGAUCUGCGCCGCAUUAGCUAGUUGGUAAGGUAACGGCUUACCAAGGCAACGAUGCGUAGCCGACCUGAGAGGGUGAUCGGCCACACUGGAACUGAGACACGGUCCAGACUCCUACGGGAGGCAGCAGUAGGGAAUCUUCCGCAAUGGGCGAAAGCCUGACGGAGCAACGCCGCGUGAGUGAUGAAGGUCUUCGGAUCGUAAAACUCUGUUAUUAGGGAAGAACAAAUGUGUAAGUAACUAUGCACGUCUUGACGGUACCUAAUCAGAAAGCCACGGCUAACUACGUG